rnacentral:rRNA from 1 species
UACAGAGGGUGCGAGCGUUAAUCGGAAUUACUGGGCGUAAAGCGCGCGUAGGCGGCUUUGCAAGUCGGGUGUGAAAUCCCCAGGCUUAACCUGGGAACUGCAUUCGAGACUGCAUUGCUAGAGUAUGGGAGAGGGAAGUGGAAUUUCCGGUGUAGCGGUGAAAUGCGUAGAUAUCGGAAGGAACAUCAGUGGCGAAAGCGACCACCUGGACUGAUACUGACACUGAGGUGCGAAAGCGUGGGGAGCAAACAGG